AAAAAAAACCACAAUAAAAUUCAUAAUCAUAAAUGAAUAGAGUACAUUACAAAGGUAGAAAAAUCAAUACAUUUAUAUUCAUUAACGAAUAAAAGGAAAUAUGAACAUAAAAAAUCUAGUUUAGUUAUAAUCACAAAUAAACUAAGAUCAUAAAAAAAAUAUAGUUUACUGUGACACUCAAAAAUAAAGAUGAGAUAGUUAUUAUCUUUAGAUUUUUCCAGGCUAAUUCAAUCCUGAAUUUGUACUCUUUUUUGCAUGUAUCUUUCUACAUUAUGAACUCCAAUGAAACCUAUAAAAAUCAUAGAAAAAUCACAAAGUAUGUCACAUAAAAAUCCGAUGCCAUUUUAAUAUUACAUUUGCCAACAAACACAUAUAAAACGAGGAUUUAUGGCCAACAAAACACACCCGAAUAGAAAUUGACAAUAACUUAAAUGAUAAUCAAGAAGAGACUUUACCGGUACCCAAUUUUAUAAUCGUUAAUGAAUAAAAACUUGAUAAUCAUUAAUGAAUAAAACUCGAAAAAAAGUUAUUUACGUCUAAUGAGAGGUUGAUAGUCAUAGUAGCUUGUGUUAUAUGUGUGCAUUUUCAUUAUAGUUUGACAACUCAAAUGGUUUAGUAAACAACUUAAUCAACAUUAAAAUUAUUUAGACAAAAAAUGUUGCAAAUGAAUAAUAUAAAGUAGUUUUUUAAUAAACCAAUAAUAUAAAAUGGGGAUAUUGGCAUCAUCGAAAAGCUCACACUCAAAAAAAUUAUAACCAUUCACUUCCGUUCACUUAUUCUAUUAAUUUACCCGGUCAUGGAGCGCUCAGCAGAAAUCGACGAUGAUGAUGUUUAGAUAAACAAAAUCAUUAUCUAUUUCUUCUUAAACAAAUUAAAUAAGAUAAUCAAUUCUAACCUCAAUUAAGCUCCCUGGCAAAAUACAUAUUUUAACAAGAUCCCUCCUAGAAAACAAAUUAUAUGAACCAAAAAGGAAGACAUUACAUCAACAUAAUAACAUAAAAAGAAAACGUACCAUAUGUUUCCAUUCGAUCACUUAGCUGUGUGGCCAGUCGAUAAAAGCCCUAAUUUUAUGAGAAAGAUGGUGAUUUGGGUAUGGUGAUGCAACUGCGGUCAGACGGAGAUGGCGGAGGAUUUGUUCCCAAAAGACGAUGGUAAACCCCCUUUCAAUCUGGUCUUCGACACAAGAAAUGCAUGUCUACACAUCUUGAAUCGAAGAUGAUGAUGGAGGUUGAUGGUUAAACCUAAUGCAAGCGAUGGUGGUGAAUCAGUGAUGUAGGGUUGUGCAGAAUGGUGGCGAACAGAUGUAAUGAUGAUGGUGAAUAGAUGGUGUUGCGUAGUAGAUGGAGGAGGCAGAGGCUUAUCUGGGUUUACAGCGAAAGAUGAAGAGAGAGAGAGAGACGGGAAAUUAUAGGAAAUAUUUGAGUGAUUG
rnacentral:lncRNA from 1 species